ASGCGGRCWGCGGAUUAUUCGAUGCAACGCGAGAACCUUACCAAGGCUUGACAUACACGAGAACGCCCUAKAAAUAGGGAACUCUUUGGACACUCGUGAACAGGUGGUGCMUGGUUGUCGUCAGCUCGUGUCGUGAGAUGUUGGGUUAAGUCCCGCAACGAGCGCAACCCUCGUUCUAUGUUGCCAGCGCGUAAUGGCGGGAACUCAUAGGAGACUGCCGGGGUCAACUCGGAGGAAGGUGGGGAUGACGUCAAAUCAUCAUGCCCCUUAUGUCUUGGGCUUCACGCAUGCUACAAUGGCCGGUACAAAGGGCUGCAAUACCGUAAGGUGGAGCGAAUCCCAAAAAGCCGGUCUCAGUUCGGAUUGAGGUCUGCAACUCGACCUCAUGAAGUCGGAGUCGCUAGUAAUCGCAGAUCAGCAACGCUGCGGUGAAUACKUUCCCGGGCCUUGUACACACRGAKKG
rnacentral:rRNA from 1 species